CUGUUAUUCCCUCUGGGGCACCUGGCACUGGCCACUGUCAGAAGACAGGAGGAUACUGGGCUAGAUGGACUUUGCGUCUGAACCAGUCUGGCCGUUCUAUGUCUCCCUUGGAGCAGCAGUGACCCCAGUGGCAGUCAGAGUAAUGCACAGAAGGUGUUUCCCUUGAUACAGCAGUGACACCCAGUGGCCAGGUGGUGUAAUGCACAGCGUGUGUCUGCCUUCUAGGAGCAGUGACACCCACGGCCCAGUCACGGUAACGCACAGAGUGUGUUUCCCACCAAUCUGGGUAAUUCACAGAGCAUGUUUCCCAUGGAGCAGCAGUGACACCCAGUGACCAGCAGGGGUGGCAUCAGACUCUUCUCGUUUGGUGGGGGACUGAAGUGGGCUAGACAAAAAAAUUGGGAGCUGUGCCCCCCUAUCACCUGGCCCCACCCUUCACGGUGGCCAUGCCUCCCAUGCCUCUGCUCCUUCUCAGGUAAAGGCCAGGCUCAUCUCCUCUCCCCCCAGCCAGGGUUUACAGCAAUACAACCUUUAUUAAAAUAAAAUAGUAAACAGGGUUUACUUUAAAUAUUCUAAAUCUGUCCAAAUUUUAGUAUUAAAUCCAAAGUUCUCUUAAAGAUCCCAUCAGUAACCAAAACCUACAUGAAAAAUUGAAACCAAAAACAAUGCUUAAUUUAAAACCCAAACAUUAAGAAACACUUUGUUUUUAAAAAUAAAAACUAACAAAUGCUGUAAAUUAAUAAUUUCAACAUUUUAUCAAAAAAGGUGUGCUACAGCAGAAUGAUAAAAUAAAAUAAAAUAAAUAAGCCUGACCACUAAAACCUCCUAUAAAGGAAUUGAAUCCUUGAAUACUGGGCAAAUCUGUAUAAAAUAUGCAGAACUAUGUCAAAACUGGUGCUGCAGGUCAGCCAUUCCAUCCAGCAAAUGUCAAUUAAAAGCUCCAUUCCAACUAAAAAACCCAAAACAACCCAAUAAACCAAAACGGUCACAGCCUGAAACAAACCUACACAGAAGCAAAAUUAAACCUGUGCCAACAUUGGAACAAAUGAUGUAAAUUUUUAAUUCUAACUUAUUGUUUCUCCAGGAGGAAAGUGUUUUGCACCCCAGGAACCAGGCUGUCACUGCAGCUUUCCUUUCACUAAAUAAGAUUUUUACCAAAUAUAAAUUUCCCUCAAAUUUCUCUAAGAGAAAUUGAAAUUGUAUCUUUGCACUAAUAUCCCAAGUGUGCAAGUCCAUCCCCUCAGAGCAGCCCCACACCCUGAGGCCAGGGGAGAAUCCCAACUGGUUUGUGCAUUUGUAACCCUGGGGAGCUGAGGAGAGAAAGGGAAGUGAGCGAUCUUGGAGCUUUCCGAUACCACCUGCUGGGAGCACAGGGAAUUGACUGAGUGACAUCCUGGCUAAUUUUCCUCUUGUUCUCCCCCAGCAGGCUCCACUGGAGAGCUCAGGAGUAACUUGACCACGGCAGCACCCUAUUUACAUAUUAAAAGCCGGCAUUUGGGGGCCAUUGGGGUGAAUUCACAGACCCAGA